rnacentral:lncRNA from 1 species
CCUUCCGGUGUUUUUCACUAUCAUGCAUGCACACACGAUAGCGGCCCAUUUGUCACUGUCGAUCUGACGACGUGUACGUACAGUAAAGAAGUUUAGUCGAACUACAUGUGGUUGGUGCAUCGUGGACAAGGACACAAGAGAGAACAUGAACAUGCCUGCCGCGUACAAAGCAAAUUAAGAACAUGAACUAAUUAACGACGAAGAAAACAAAAGUUGGGUAGUAGUAGUAGUAGUAGUAAACAAAAUUAACCGGAGGAACGCUUUAAUUUGGAGCAGUAGUACUGGACGAAACAAUGCUGGCCGGCGAGGGGACGACGACAACGACGACCACAAAAACCUCGUUGUGUAUUCACAGCGUGCGUAC